rnacentral:rRNA from 1 species
UACAGAGGUGGCAAGCGUUGUUCGGAAGUACUGGGCGUAAAGGGCGCGUAGGCGGCCUACUAAGUCAGACGUGAAAUCCCCCGGCUUAACCUGGGAACUGCGUCUGGUACUGGAAGGCUUGAGGAUGGGAGAGGGAUGUAGAAUUCCAGGUGUAGCGGUGAAAUGCGUAGAUAUCUGGAGGAAUACCGGUGGCGAAGGCGGCAUCCUGGACCAUUACUGACGCUGAGGCGCGAAAGCUAGGGGAGCAAACGGG